rnacentral:rRNA from 1 species
UACGAAGGGGGCUAGCGUUGCUCGGAAUGACUGGGCGUAAAGGGCGCGUAGGCGGCUCAUACAGUCAGGCGUGAAAUUCCUGGGCUCAACCUGGGGACUGCGCUUGAGACGUGUGGGCUUGAGUGGGGAAGAGGGUCGUGGAAUUCCCAGUGUAGAGGUGAAAUUCGUAGAUAUUGGGAAGAACACCGGUGGCGAAGGCGGCGACCUGGCCCUUGACUGACGCUGAGGCGCGAAAGCGUGGGGGAGCAAACAGG